rnacentral:rRNA from 1 species
CCUACGGGGGGCAGCAGUGAGGAAUAUUGGUCAAUGGACGAGAGUCUGAACCAGCCAAGUAGCGUGAAGGAUGAAGGCCCUAUGGGUUGUAAACUUCUUUUAUACGGGAAUAAAGUGUUCCACGUGUGGAUUUUUGUAUGUACCUUAUGAAUAAGGAUCGGCUAACUCCGUGCCAGCAGCCGCGGUAAUACGGAGGAUCCGAGCGUUAUCCGGAUUUAUUGGGUUUAAAGGGAGCGUAGGUGGAUUGUUAAGUCAGUUGUGAAAGUUUGCGGCUCAACCGUAAAAUUGCAGUUGAUACUGGCAGUCUUGAGUACAGUAGAGGUGGACGGUAUUCCUAGCGUAGCGAUCAAAUCCCUAGCCCUCCACGACGCUCCUCAUUUCUAAGGAUGUCAACAUCACUGCGGUUGACUAUUUGGGUAAAACGUCUUGGGAGCAAUUAGCUACUGGUGAACCAGUAGAC